CUACUAAAAAAUUGAAUUAAAUUUUAGUACAAAGGUGAUCACAUUGACACAUACUGUAUUUUUAAUUUAAAUUAUUUGCGAAUAUCCAUGACCAGCAAAUUCAAAUUCAAAUAUAUUUUAUUGCUAAUCAAAGCGCCCACAAGGAGCAGAACAAUCAACAUUAAUUACAUACAAAUGAUUACAAGUGAUUCAAUAUGAUUAAGACACAAUGUU
rnacentral:lncRNA from 1 species